rnacentral:rRNA from 1 species
GACGUAGGGGGCGAGCGUUAUUCGGGAAUUAUUGGGCGGUAAAGCGCUCGUAGGCGGGAUCGAUAGUCCGUGAAGAAAGACCUGGGCUCAACUCAGGGAACGGCACGGAUAACUACGAUUCUUGAGGCAAUCAGAGGGUGAUGGAAUUCCCGGUGUAGCGGUGAAAUGCGUAGAAUAUCGGGAGGAACACCGAUGGCGAAGGCACUCUACUGGGCCAUUACUG